GCCAGUCCGUAAGUCUCCUUCCAGUGUGACCAGCAUUCAGCGUGGAAGCCGGUGGCCUGCCUGUCCUCCUGCCUGACUGCCUCCCUCCCUAAGGAUUCUCUCCCGGGCAUCACUCCCCUCCUCGCUCCACAGUCCUGCUCUACCUUUUCCCCACGGUCCCGAUUACGGCGCUCCUGGGCUCCACGCUCCUCGUUUCCCCCCGUGGCAUGAGCCUUAGUUUUUCGUUUCCAAGCUUUGUUAAAAGAUUCCUCAGUUAAAUAAACACUUGUACAUAGUUCUGA